GACGAACGCUGGCGGCGGGCUUAACACAUGCAAGUCGAACGGAAAGGCCCUGCUUUUGUGGGGUGCUCGAGUGGCGAACGGGUGAGUAACACGUGAUUAACCUGCCCUUGACUUUGGGAUAACUUCAGGAAACUGGGGCUAAUACCGGAUAGGCGCUCCUGCUGCAUGGUGGGGGUUGGAAACUUUCGGCGGCUGGUGAUGGACUCGCGGCUUAUCAGCUUGUUGGUGGGGUAGAGGCUUACCAAGGCUUUGACUGGUAGCCGGCCUGGGUGGGUGACCGGCGACAGUGGGACUGAGAUACGGAAAAGAAUCGUACGGGAGGCAGCAGUCGGGAAUAUUGCACUAUGGGCGGAAGGCAGAUGCAGCAACGCCGCGUGCGGGAUGACGGCCUUCGGGUUGUAAACCGCUUUCGCCUGUGACGAAGCGUGAGUGACGGUAAUGGGUAAAGAAGCAACGGCUAACUAAGUG
rnacentral:rRNA from 1 species